rnacentral:rRNA from 1 species
CAGUCGCCGCGGUAAUACGAAGGGGGCAAGCGUUGUUCGGAUUUACUGGGCGUAAAGCGUACGUAGGCGGAUAUUUAAGUCAGGGGUGAAAUCCCGAGGCUCAACCUCGGAACUGCCUUUGAUACUGGGUAUCUUGAGUCCGAGAGAGGUGAGUGGAACUCCUAGUGUAGAGGUGAAAUUCGUAGAUAUUAGGAAGAACACCAGUGGCGAAGGCGGCUCACUGGCUCGGAACUGACGCUGAGGUACGAAAGCGUGGGGAGCAAACAGGAUUAGAUACCCGUGUAGUCCCUGUCUCUUAUAC